rnacentral:rRNA from 1 species
CACGUCCCUCGGGACUACGUUGCCUGAUGCAGCACGCCGCGUGAGGGAUGACGGCCUUCGGGUUGUAAACCUCUUUAGGGAGGGAAGAAGCCUUCGGGUGACGGUACCUGCAGAAAAAGCGCCGGCUAACUACGUGCCAGCAGCCGCGGUAAUACGUAGGGCGCAAGCGUUAUCCGGAAUUAUUGGGCGUAAAGAGCUCGUAGGCGGUCUGUCGCGUCUGCUGUGAAAUCCCGAGGCUCAACCUCGGGCUUGCAGUGGGUACGGGCAGACUAGAGUGCGGUAGGGGAGAUUGGAAUUCCUGGUGUAGCGGUGGAAUGCGCAGAUAUCAGGAGGAACACCGAUGGCGAAGGCAGAUCUCUGGGCCGUUACUGACGCUGAGGAGCGAAAGGGUGGGGAGCAAACAGGCUUAGAUACCCUGGUAGUCCACCCCGUAAACGUUGGGAACUAGUUGUGGGGUCCUUUCCACGGAUUCCGUGACGUAGCUAACGCAUUAAGUUCCCCGCCUGGGGAGUACGGCCGCAAGGCUAAAACUCAAAGGAAUUGACGGGGA